AAGACCUUGCGCUUUUGGAGCGGCCGAMGUCUGAUUAGCUAGUUGGUGGGGUAAUGGCCUACCAAAGCUUCGAUCAGUAGCUGGUCUGAGAGGACGGCCAGCCACACUGGGACUGAGACACGGCCCAGACUCCUACGGGAGGCAGCAGUGGGGAAUUUUGGACAAUGGGCGCAAGCCUGAUCCAGCCAUGCCGCGUGAGUGAAGAAGGCCUUCGGGUUGUAAAGCUCUUUCAGCCGGGAAGAAAAGGUUGCGAUUAAUAAUCGCAAUUGAUGACGGUACCGGAAGAAGAAGCACCGGCUAACUACGUGCCAGCAGCCGCGGUAAUACGUAGGGUGCGAGCGUUAAUCGGAAUUACUGGGCGUAAAGGGUGCGCAGGCGGUUUUGUAAGUCAGAUGUGAAAUCCCCGGGCUUAACCUGGGAACU
rnacentral:rRNA from 1 species